rnacentral:rRNA from 1 species
AGUGAACGCUGGCGGUAGGCCUAACACAUGCAAGUCGAACGGCAGCACAGUAAGGGCUUGCUCUUACGGGUGGCGAGUGGCGGACGGGUGAGGAAUACAUCGGAAUCUACUUUUUCGUGGGGGAUAACGUAGGGAAACUUACGCUAAUACCGCAUACGACCUACGGGUGAAAGCAGGGGAUCUUCGGACCUUGCGCGAUUGAAUGAGCCGAUGUCGGAUUAGCUAGUUGGCGGGGUAAAGGCCCACCCAGGCGACGAUCCGUAGCUGGUCUGAGAGGAUGAUCAGCCACACUGGAACUGAGACACGGUCCAGACUCCUACGGGAGGCAGCAGUGGGGAAUAUUGGACAAUGGGCGCAAGCCUGAUCCAGCCAUACCGCGUGGGUGAAGAAGGCCUUCGGGUUGUAAAGCCCUUUUGUUGGGAAAGAAAAGCAGCAGGUUAAUACCCCGCUGUUCUGACGGUACCCAAAGAAUAAGCACCGGCUAACUUCGUG